CUCAGCCAUUUCCCUCCUUCGAGCGACCCCAAAUCGCGUUCCUCCGCCGCAUCUCCUUCCCCUCCUCCCCCUCUCCGUUGGCCUCCUCUCUGUGGAUAUCUCCCGCCUCCUCCGCCGCAGAGCACUCACGCGGCGUUUGAAGUUUGGAGCCGGCAAGGACAGGGACAAGGCCAGGUUUGGGAUCUUCUUCUCUUGCUUCGAUCUUUAAAUUCUAGAUGUUCUGGAUCUUUAAAUCCGUGCUUGCCACCGCCAUCCACACCGGCAGAGCCUGAGGUAGCCUUCCCAAUCUUUUCGUGCUCGCCGCUCGGGAUCGCCCUCCGCCCUCAUAUCCUACCGCUCCGCCGCUCGGGAUCGCUCUCGCCUCCCUUCUCCUCCAACCCCUUGCGCGGCUCAGCUCAUGCAGGGACAUGUUAUAGCAUGCCAAUAUGUGCCACAGUCUUGAAAGUUGAUACAAUUUCAUUGCUAUCGACAGCUGCAAAACUCUUUUCCUUAUACUAAU